AUACGUAGGGUGCGAGCGUUAAUCUGAAUUACUGGGCGUAAAGCGUGCGCAGGCGGUUUUGUAAGACAGUGGUGAAAUCCCCGGGCUCAACCUGGGAACUGCCAUUGUGACUGCAAGGCUGGAGUGCGGCAGAGGGGGAUGGAAUUCCGCGUGUAGCAGUGAAAUGCGUAGAUAUGCGGAGGAACACCGAUGGCGAAGGCAAUCCCCUGGGCCUGCACUGACGCUCAUGCACGAAAGCGUGGGGAGCAAACAGGAUUAGAUACCCUGGUAGUCCACGCCCUAAACGAUGUCAACUGGUUGUUGGGGAUUUAUUUUCUCAGUAACGAAGCUAACGCGUGAAGUUGACCGCCUGGGGAGUACGGCCGCAAGGUUAAAACUCAAAGGAAUUGACGGGG
rnacentral:rRNA from 1 species